rnacentral:rRNA from 1 species
AUGAACGCUGGCGGCGUGCCUAAUACAUGCAAGUCGAGCGAACGGACGAGAAGCUUGCUUCUCUGAUGUUAGCGGCGGACGGGUGAGUAACACGUGGAUAACCUACCUAUAAGACUGGGAUAACUUCGGGAAACCGGAGCUAAUACCGGAUAAUAUUUUGAACCGCAUGGUUCAAAAGUGAAAGACGGUCUUGCUGUCACUUAUAGGUGGAUCCGCGCUGCAUUAGCUAGUUGGUAAGGUAACGGCUUACCAAGGCAACGAUGCAUAGCCGACCUGAGAGGGUGAUCGGCCACACUGGAACUGAGACACGGUCCAGACUCCUACGGGAGGCAGCAGUAGGGAAUCUUCCGCAAUGGGCGAAAGCCUGACGGAGCAACGCCGCGUGAGUGAUGAAGGUCUUCGGAUCGUAAAACUCUGUUAUUAGGGAAGAACAUAUGUGUAAGUAACUGUGCACAUCUUGACGGUACCUAAUCAGAAAGCCACGGCUAACUACGUG